rnacentral:rRNA from 1 species
AGCGAACGCUGGCGGCGUGCUUAACACAUGCAAGUCGAACGUGAAAGGGAGCAAUCCUGAGUAAAGUGGCGAACGGGUGAGUAACACGUAGGUAAUCUACCCGAAAGUCUGGAAUAACCUGCCGAAAGGCGGGCUAAUACUGGAUAGAGCGAUGGAACCCAUAAAGGGAUUUUCGGGAAAGGGAGGAAGCAAUUCCCUUUGCUUUAGGAUGAGCCUGCGUCCCAGCUGCUAGUUGGUAGAGUAAAAGCCUACCAAGGCAAUGACGGGUAGCUGGUCUGAGAGGAUGAUCAGCCACACUGGAACUGAAACACGGUCCAGACUCCUACGGGAGGCAGCAGUGGGGAAUCUUGCGCAAUGGGCGAAAGCCUGACGCAGCCACGCCGCGUGAGUGAAGAAGGCCUUCGGGUUGUAAAGCUCUGUCGCCCGGGACGAAAAGCUUUAAGGUGAAUAGCCUUAGAGUGUGACGGUACCGGGAAAGGAAGCACCGGCUAACUCCGUGCCAGCAGCCGCCGUAA